GCCAGGUGCGGUGGCUCACACCUGUAAUCCCAGCACUAUGGGAGGCUGAGAUGGGUGGAUCAUUUGAGGUCGGGAGUUCAAGACCAGCCUGACCAACAUAGUGAAACCCCAUCUCUA
rnacentral:SRP_RNA from 1 species